GAUGAAGAACGUAGCGAAAUGCGAUAAGUAAUGUGAAUUGCAGAAUUCAGUGAAUCAUCGAAUCUUUGAACGCACAUUGCGGCCGCCAGUAUUCUGGCGGGCAUGCCUGUUCGAGCGUCAUUUCAACCCUCAGGCCCCCAGUGCCUGGUGUUGGGGAUCGGCCCAGCCUUCCUGUAAGGCCGCCGGCCCCGAAAUCUAGUGGCGGUCUCGCUGUAGUCCUCCUCUGCGUAGUAGCACAGCCUCGCAGUUGGAACGCGGCGGUGGCCAUGCCGUUAAACACCCCACUUCUGAAAGUUGACCUCGGAUCAGGUAGGAAUACCCGCUGAACUUAAGCAUAUCAAUAAGCGGAGGA
rnacentral:misc_RNA from 1 species